GGCCUCAUACAUGCAAGUCGAGCGGUCCUUCGGGACAGCGGCGAACGGGUUAGUAACGCGUGGGAACGUGCCCUUUAGUACGGAAUAGCCAUUGGAAACGAUGAUUAAUACCGUAUACGCCCCAAGGGGGAAAGAUUUAUCGCUAAAGGAUCGGCCCGCGUUAGAUUAGGUAGUUGGUAGGGUAACGGCCUACCAAGCCGACGAUCUAUAGCUGGUUUGAGAGGAUGAUCAGCAACACUGGGACUGAGACACGGCCCAGACUUCUACGGAAGGCAGCAGUAGGGAAUCUUGGACAAUGGGCGAAAGCCUGAUCCAGCCAUGCCGCGUGAGUGAUGAAGGCCCUAGGGUUGUAAAGCUCUUUCGCCAGGGAAGAUAAUGACGGUACCUGGCAAAGAAACCCCGGCUAACUCCGUGCCAGCAGCCGCGGUAAUACGGAGGGGGUUAGCGUUGUUCGGAAUUACUGGGCGUAAAGCGCACGUAGGCGGAUUAAUAAGUCAGGGGUGAAAUCCCGAGGCUCAACCUCGGAACUGCCUUUGAUACUGUUAGUCUUGAGUUCGAGAGAGGUGAGUGGAAUUCCGAG
rnacentral:rRNA from 1 species